GGGGGAGACACAAGUCUCUGGGGCCAGGCCUGGGGUCUGUCCCUUAGGUUCUCCUCACCUCCGUUAGCCUCCUAGUGCAGAGCGCUCCAAGCCAGGAUCUCAAAAGUCUUGGGCUGAAGAAGUGGGAGAAGGUGGCAGCAGUGGCGGUGGGGUCGACAGGGGAGUCAAAGACGGAAUGAGCAGGCUGGAUGAAUACUCCCAGGAGACAAUGUGGCCAUCUCAAGACAGGCACUGGACAAUGGCUGAAGACUUGUCUGAAGACUGGAAAUAUUUUGCAAAUUCAGAGAGAAAAAAAGGCCCCUCUGACUACACCAUACUCUAAGGAUACCUUAUUAAGGUGAUCCUGUCCACCUAAUACAGCACCUCAUGUGGAAUAACAGAAGCCACCUGCAGGAGCUGUGGUGAUGACUCACAGGUGCUUCCUACACAAGAAGUCACAUGACCACAGAGUGUCAUUUGUCAAAGAACCAAGAACUUGUUCAAAACUCUACAUAGCAUCCAAUCUAUCACGUGGAUAUGCAAUAAUGAGAGCCUUCUGAAGAUGCCUAGACAAUCCUGGGAUGAGUAACAGUCUUUUAUGGAACUGAAAACUGAGUCCUAAUGACCCUGGCACACUGAUGUGUAAACAGCACAAGAGAUAGAACCAGAGCUGAAGACCGUCCAAUCCAGAACAAAGAAAGUCAGAAAUGGCCAUUCCACAAGUGAUAGCCUUUCUGACCAGGACUUACCUAGAGAAGGUCAUCUCCUUCUUCAGCUUAUGGUUGUUCUCAUGGAUCUCAGUGUUCUCCAUCUCUAAGUUGUGCAGAAUUGACAUGACCGCCUCCUCCAUUCUCUCCAGGUCUUCAUAAUAUGGAUUUGCCCUGAAGUGUGGCCUGGCCCCAAAUGAUAGAAUACAAUGAACAUCAGCAUUUAGGAAUAUAUGAACUCAGGGUGGGUCCUGUACUACCCCAGUCCUGGAAGGACACCUUCUGAAUUCUACAUAUUGGAUAUUCUUCAGCUUCAGAAACGUGUUUUUCUGCAUCCAGGACACCAGAAUCUCAGCAUCCAGAUGGAGGGUUCCCUGGCUCCCUUUGUUCAAUCAAGAGGAAAUCUGCAGUCAAGCCAGUUGAGCUAUCAAGAGCCUAGGCCACACCUCUCCAUGCUCCCCCAAACCCAACACACCCAGAAUCCUGUGAUUUCUUUUUUCCUGUCCUGAUAACAGACCAUAUAUCAACCCAAAAUUAUAAUCUGCACAAGGAAUACAAAUAUACAGACAAUUGUGGCCACAUAGGCAAAGAACUGUGCUGUUGACAGUGGGGCUCCCAGAACAAAGCAUUCACAUGACCAUGAAAGUGUUACAGGUAAAUACUCAAGCCAAGACAUAGACUCCUAGAUUCCAAGUGUGGAGGGAAAUAUAAACAUAUAAAAGUUGUGCAUAUGUAUUUGGAUGUAUGCACACACAGACUCACAGACUGAGACACACCCACAAAAAAGAGAAAAGUAAACAGAGUCAGAGAAAGAGAAAGACAAAUAUGGAAACAGAGAGCACUGUGAGAACCAGGAGAAAUGCAUGCACCAUUGCUGUCUCAGAGUGUAAGACACACAGACAACAACAAUCAGGCCUGAGCCUGAGACCUUCUAGUCAAGCAUUGAGAUGAACAGUUUGGGACCAGGUCCCUCAGGCUGCUGCCUGGAUCUUCCAGCACUCAGUCACCUGCCUAGCAAGUACAGAGACUCAUCAUAAACUCACUGCAAUUACAAUCUUGCACAGCCACCAGCUGUCAAGAGCUUUGCAAAUGCACACUGGGAACUCACUCUCCCUGACUUUAUCCCUGAAUUCUUCAUUCAGACCACAAAUCCUGCUUUUCAAUAAAUGGAAGCAGAUGAGUCCAUUUUCCAUCUCGCUCCUCAGGAAGGGUCAGGUUCUGAAUCUCCUCUAUAUGGGAGGUGAGGUUUAGCACAUGGUGGUUAGGGAGGCACAGCUUUCUAGAACCCAAAACCUUAAUAGGAUGAGAUGAAGGUGACCUUGCAGACCCAGGAAUGAAACAAGAAUGUUUGGAGCAAUUCAUACCUGUUUUUCAUAGAUCUCUCUGUCAGAAACCUCAGGCGAUCUCUCAGGUCAUUUCUCUCCUCGGUAAUGAGCUGCAGCUCUUUAAUCAGCCUCUCCUUUUCCUUCUUGGCCUGCUUCUCACUUAGGGCAGUUCCAGUGGAUGAUGUUUCUCUCCCAGGCUCUGUAGGUAGAAGGACACAAGUGAAAAUGCAUGGGGAGAAUGCAUAGAGUGUACAUAGACCACAGUGAGUCCUAAACAGGAGAACAAGCCUGGAACCCAGUGUCACUGCAAGGAGUUUGGUCUUUGCUUAAGAGGCCUCCUCAGGGGAUCUCAGUUCUCCCACUACUCUAUAGAGACCAAGAGAUGUAAGCAGCCAGGUGUUCCCUAUGCCGGACAUCACGUGCUUACAUGUACCACGGAGAUGGCUUCUCCAGGAUUAUUAUCAACUGAACAGGGUACAACUUGGUUUCAGGCCCCUUACCCCUGUGGUUUCAGAAGUCAGAUGAUAAAUUCACCAUCCACAAGACUUGAGUGAUUGGAGACACUCAGAUGUCCUACCCUGACACUAUAGGUCAACAACUUUGGAUUUAAAACACAUUUCCAUGGAGGACAUGUUCAACAGACUUAUCAAUUCACCUAUAUGAAAUAACAAAUGCCCCAGAAGUUCCAAUAGGUUACAGGCUGAAUCUUGGUCCACAUGUUCCAAAUAGUUUUGGUAUUGUAGAAAAAUGUUUGUAACACACAUCCUCUAAUAUAUAAAGCUAACGAUGACCCUGCCAGUUAGAAGAAAUCAGAGGAGGUCUAAGAACAUAAGGUUAUUGCCUGGAGCACAAUUCUCUCCCUGUAACUCUGUCAGAUAUCCACUGUAUUUAAAAAAAGCAAUGAUAGUGAAAUACAUUGCUGCCCUGUCUAAACUCAGAAAAGGUGGACCCUCCAUGACUCCUCAUGGUGUUAUUGUAUCAAUGUAACAUAGCAAAUGAACUGUGAAAGUAAAGACCAGAAGUUCACAGUAUAAUAGCAUUGGCCUUACCAUAUCCUCCCUGUGGGGAUGGGGAAACUAAAGUUCUGAAAUCCUUGACUGUAAGGAAUUGUGAUAUUCAUGGAAAUUCAAUUCCUUUUCAGAUGUUCCAGUUGUUGUGGGCCAUUGCUAGAAAGGUCAGCUUAAGCCUGCAGCCCCCCUGACAGGAAGCUCAAAAUAUACUGCCCAGAACUUACUCCACCUUCCCCAGAAGUGCUGUCUUUGUCCAUCAUUACUUUGAGACGAAAGGCCAGACUCCUUCACUCUAGUCUCUCCACAAUCGACGUUCCCCCUCCCAAAACGCUUGCGAAGAUGGGAAAACAUGUCUUAGCUUGUAACUGCCAGACUCAGACUGAGAGAAACUAGGGCACUGGUUGUCACUACAACACUGGUGACAUCACAGAGGAUGCCAGAACUCUCUAGGAGACAAUAGAAUGUCCAAGAAGGGACAGCUGAUGUCAUGGGGAGCAGACUUUGCCUCCCUGCUAAUGUUCUCCCUGUACUGAGCAUAAGCAGAGGUGCCCUUUCCAGGAGACUUUCCUGGGGCAGAGCCACUGAGCAUCUCCUGCUUCCAAAGCCAAAUUUUCCUCAAGGCUUGAUUAGAAAAACCUUAGUAAUUCCUAUGCAUCUAAAUGAAUGUUUCCUUCCAUAUCUUGCCCCAAAAUGUCUCAUCCUAACUCAAAUUGUCCUCAUUCACCAAUGUUAGCCAUUAAAACUUCCUGAGAUUUCAUACCAGCUUGAUUAUGCAGUCAAAAGUUCUCCUGUCUCAUUAUGUACGGGUGCUUUAAAUCACAUCAAGAAAUAGUCUGCAUGGUAGGUUACAACAUGGGUGUGUGUUAGGGGAACACUCAUGAAAUCAUGUGCUUAGCAAUGGACAAUUGCCAGAAAAUUCCUUAGGAGAAAGAGUUGAAGUCUUUAUGGUGCUAGGAACAGCGUGGAGACCAGUUGGCAGAGGAAAGUGAAAUAUUGGAACCACCAAUGAAGGGAACCUCAUGCUGCUUGUGGGGUUCUCCUCUCUGCACCAAUGUUGCCAAAGGAGCACUGCUCCCAGGCCUGAGUGAGAUAUACCAUGAGCUUCUAUCAGAAGAAUAAAAUAAUCAAGAGAUAUAGGGGGUGCAGAUAAAGGUGUAGGACGAGGCUAUAAACAUCACUACGUGGAUAGAGGAAGAUCCCUGCACUUGUGCUCUGGGUCAUGGGCUUCCCCACCAAACACAAAAGCAUCUGUCACAGUAAAAAAUGGAUACUGUAUUGAAUGCACACACUAACACUGAUUGAUCACAUCCAUAGCCCAGAUUUUGGGGGCAGAUCCAUGGCCCCAAAUAUCUUCCUCUCAACUUAUACAGCAAAAAAUAAGAAAGAAAGAAAAAAGUCAAAACACAAAGCUCAAGCUUCUCAUAUGAGGAUUGCAGGAAGUGUUAUAUGGUAGUCAGUUCUGAUUAGGCCAUUUUAGAUAGAACAGUGCACAGUGACCCUUAAUGUGAUGGGUCCUAUAUAAAGCUUUCUGAAAUAUUGGAAUUUUAACAAGCCUCAUCCAGAACAUACCGCAGAGGAAAGGAUGUGAUCACCGUGUCCUUGCUCUCUAUCAGGUUAUUUAUCUGUGUCCCUGAUUGUCAGACAUAUCAGAGCAACACUCUGAAAUAGCUGGUAGACGUGGAACAAAGUGGCUCAAACUAUAGUUGUGGGUUACACACCUCAACUGUCAAAGGCUAAUGCUGUCCUCACAGUCCUUGGAGGCCACUCUUGUAAGACUAUCUAUUGGAAAGUGGAAGGGGGUUUAUCUGAGCUCAAAGUGAACCUGGCCAGCCAGGGAGAGGGCAACAUGGGAUAUUUGAGACCCUGUCUAAAACCAGCACAGAAACCCACCCUUCAUUCAAAGCAUCAUCUACGAAUUCUCAAUUUUUUACCAUUCUCUCAAUACCAGUCUUUCACUCUGGAAUGGUAGAAAAGAACUGGGAAUGAUCUUUCUAUUCUCAGGACAUUAAUCUCUCUUUCCUUAGGUCCACAUUAAGAACACAUGCAAAUGGGUAUGACCAUCUGAACAACUUAGUAUCAUCUACUCAGUAUAUGUAGCAUAAUACUGUGCCUAUGACAAUCUCAAGCUUCCUUGAGUUUCGCUGACCCAGCAAGAAAUAUGAAGUACUGAGGCCAAACCCCAGUGAUCCUUUCAAGGGUUUAGAAGAAAGCCAUCAGAGAAACUCCACUUCUUUGUCCUUAGAUUAAAUCACAUUGACACAAUGUGAACCUGGUGCACUAUCUAACCAUGUAUCUUUCUCCCAACCCCACCUUUCUGAGUUCAGUCCAUGGGAACCUGCAUGGGGAGAAUGCAUAGAGUGUACAUAGACCACAGUGAGGCCUAAACAGGAGAACAAGCCUGGAAUCCAGUGUCGCUGCAAGGAGUUUGGUCUUCGCUUAAGAGACCUCCUCAGUGGCUCUCAGUUCUCCCACUACUCUAUAGAGACCAAGAGAUGUAAGCAGCCAGGUGUUCCCUAUGCCUGCUGACACACGCAAUAAAUGCAGUAAAUUUUAAUUUCUGUUCAGUUGUUAGGUAACUUACUUACACUUGCAUAUUGCUGUGGAAGUGAUGGGGUUUCAUGAUCAGCAUUGCAUUUAACAAUGCAUAACCAAUCAUCCCUCCUAGAAUGACUCUGUAUAUAGAGAAAGAAAAUGUAUUAGAAUGGCUUAUAGGCUGUGGUACAGCUAAUUCAACAAGGAAUGGAAGGUCCAAAACGCAGUAGUUGCCCCUGUUGAAGCCAAUCCCCCUAGCAUAGCUGUAGCCAUUUUGUUCCAUGCCUGCCAGAUAGUUCAUAUUCUUGCUGUAAUAUGUCCGCCCGUUAUUGUUGUCUGAAAAUAAUUAGACUCACAGCAGGGUCAGGCAUGAUCACAUAACUUGUGUAUUUUUUUAUUGGUUAUUUUGUUUAUUUACAUUUCAAAUGUUAACCCCCUUUCCAGUUUCUCCUCCAAAAACCCUGCAUUCCACCCCCUUCCCCAGCCUCCUCGAGGGUGCUCCCCCACCCAACCAUUCCUGAACCACUGGGUGGAGGUUCUUUAUGUUGUGAGGUUUCUUAAUCUUAAAUUCCAUAACUAUAAGCUUCAUGUAGGACCCAUAAAAUUAAAGGUCAAUAUGAGGGCUGCAGAGAUGGCUCCAUGGUUAAGAGCACUGACUGCUCUUCCAGAGGUCCUGAGUUCAAAUCCCAGCAA